AGCAGAUGUAGCUUUCUUUUUGUCAAUUUAAUAAGCAAUAGAAUAAUAUAUAUAUAUAUAUAUAAUUAAUUCGACUGAGAGAAAGGAGAAUAGGUAAAUGCCAUAUAAAAAGGCAAACCAUAAAACAAAUUAAGCAUGCAAGCAUAUUAGAUAUAGAUGGCAGAUACCAAGAGAACUCAUGUGCAAACCAAGCUCAAGAUGGAAGCAACUACCAUUCAUGUUUCUACCUCAAUCUCUAUGGAUUUGUACCCAAAGUUGCCAAAAGAAGAUGGAGUUCUUGUGGUUUGUAAUGGUGAAAAUGGAGUCUCUGCUGCUCACCAGUUUUCUGAUCAUCAUCAUCAAGUAUUAUCGGACAGCAUAGAAGCUUUAAGAUCAUGAUCAUGAUCUUAAACAACCACGGAUUCCUGGUUGGUUUGCAGAGCAUUGUCCAAUUUGGCCAGGAAAGGAAAGUAGAAGACACACAUAUAACUUUUCAGAAAAAGAAAUUUUGUUGACCAAACAACAUUCAUUUUGCUUGUCAUAUUUGUGGUAGUUCAAUUGAUAUGGUGAUCCUCUAUGAUUUUGCUUCUUGGUGAGCUGAAAGCUGACAAAGCUCAUUUAAGUCUUUGAAUUUCAGUUAAGGCCAAUGUCUUUAUGUUGUAUGUAAUGAACACAUUUCAAAAACUCAAGUGUUAUUUGAAUAAAAUAUCUACAUUUGUGUUGGAUUGGAUUA